rnacentral:rRNA from 1 species
GAUGAACGCUGGCGGCGUGCCUAAUACAUGCAAGUCGAGCGAACGGACGAGAAGCUUGCUUCUCUGAUGUUAGCGGCGGACGGGUGAGUAACACGUGGAUAACCUACCUAUAAGACUGGGAUAACUUCGGGAAACCGGAUCUAAUACCGGAUAAGAUUUUGAACCGCAUGGUUCAAAAGUGAAAGACGGUCGUUCGGUCACUUAUAGAUGGAUCCGCGCUGCAUUAGCUAGUUGGUAAGGUAUAGGAUUACCAAGGCAACGAUGCGUAGCCGCCCUGCGAGGGUGAGUGGCCAGCCUGGAAGUGUGACCCGGUCCAGAGUGACUGGGGUGCCGCCCGGAGGGAAUCUUCAGGCAUGGGUGAGAGACAGACGGCGAAGCGCGGAGUGAGUGAGGAAGGACUUCGGGUGCUAAAACUCUGUCAUUAGGGAAGAAAAUACGUGUACGUAAGAGGGAGCAUGUGGGAGGUAACUAAGCAGAGAGGCACGGCUAAAUUAGUG